rnacentral:rRNA from 1 species
UGCAAGUCGAGCGGAAACGACUUAACUGAACCUUCGGGGAACGUUAAGGGCGUCGAGCGGCGGACGGGUGAGUAAUGCCUAGGAAGUUGCCCAGUAGAGGGGGAUAACCAUUGGAAACGAUGGCUAAUACCGCAUAACCUCUUCGGAGCAAAGCAGGGGACCUUCGGGCCUUGCGCUAUUGGAUACGCCUAGGUGGGAUUAGCUAGUUGGUGAGGUAAGGGCUCACCAAGGCGACGAUCCCUAGCUGGUCUGAGAGGAUGAUCAGCCACACUGGAACUGAGACACGGUCCAGACUCCUACGGGAGGCAGCAGUGGGGAAUAUUGCACAAUGGGCGAAAGCCUGAUGCAGCCAUGCCGCGUGUGUGAAGAAGGCCUUCGGGUUGUAAAGCACUUUCAGCAGUGAGGAAGAUGGUAAGCUUAAUACGCUUAUCAUUUGACGUUAGCUGCAGAAGAAGCACCGGCUAACUCCGUGCCAGCAGCCGCGGUAAUACGGAGGGUGCGAGCGUUAAUCGGAAUUACUGGGCGUAAAGCGCAUGCAGGUGGUGAGUUAAGUCAGAUGUGAAAGCCCGGGGCUCAACCUCGGAAUUGCAUUUGAAACUGGCUCACUAGAGUACUGUAGAGGGGGGUAGAAUUUCAGGUGUAGCGGUGAAAUGCGUAGAGAUCUGAAGGAAUACCAGUGGCGAAGGCGGCCCCCUGGACAGAUACUGACACUCAGAUGCGAAAGCGUGGGGAGCAAACAGGAUUAGAUACCCUGGUAGUCCACGCCGUAAACGAUGUCUACUUGGAGGUUGUGGCCUUGAGCCGUGGCUUUCGGAGCUAACGCGUUAAGUAGACCGCCUGGGGAGUACGGUCGCAAGAUUAAAACUCAAAUGAAUUGACGGGGGCCCGCACAAGCGGUGGAGCAUGUGGUUUAAUUC